rnacentral:rRNA from 1 species
GAUGAACGCUGGCGGCGUGCCUAAUACAUGCAAGUAGAACGCUGAAGCUUGGUGCUUGCACCGAGCGGAUGAGUUGCGAACGGGUGAGUAACGCGUAGGUAACCUGCCUCUUAGCGGGGGAUAACUAUUGGAAACGAUAGCUAAUACCGCAUAAAAGUCGAUAUCGCAUGAUAUUGAUUUGAAAGGUGCAAAUGCAUCACUAAGAGAUGGACCUGCGUUGUAUUAGCUAGUUGGUGAGGUAACGGCUCACCAAGGCGACGAUACAUAGCCGACCUGAGAGGGUGAUCGGCCACACUGGGACUGAGACACGGCCCAGACUCCUACGGGAGGCAGCAGUAGGGAAGCUUCGGCAAUGGGGGCAACCCUGACCGAGCAACGCCGCGUGAGUGAAGAAGGUUUUCGGAUCGUAAAGCUCUGUUGUAAGAGAAGAACGAGUGUGAGAGUGGAAAGUUCACACUGUGACGGUAACUUACCAGAAAGGGACGGCUAACUACGUG